AGAGUUUGAUCCUGGCUCAGGAUGAACGCUGGCGGCGUGCUUAAUACAUGCAAGUCGAACGAAGAGCCUUUGUAGCAAUACGAGGGUUUCUUAGUGGCGAACGGGUGCGUAACGCGUUGGUGACCUGCCCCGAAGUGUGGGAUAACAGUUCGAAAGGACUGCUAAUACCGCAUGUGGUCACGAGGGUUAGAGGCCUUGUGACUAAAGCAGUAAUGCGCUUCGGGAGGGACCUGCGUCCCAUCAGCUAGUUGGUGAGGUAACGGCCCACCAAGGCUACGACGGGUAGGGGACCUGAGAGGGUGGUCCCCCACACUGGCACUGAAGCACGGGCCAGACACCUACGGGUGGCAGCAGUAGGGAAUAUUGGGCAAUGGGCGAAAGCCUGACCCAGCAACGCCGCGUGCACGAUGAAGGUCUUCGGAUCGUAAAGUGCUUUUCUGAGAGAUGAGAAAGGACAGUAUCUCAGGAAUAAGUCUCGGCUAACUACGUGCCAGCAGCCGCGGUAAAACGUAGGAGGCAAGCGUUAUCCGGAUCUACUGGGCGUAAAGCGCGUGCAGGCGGUUCGGUAAGUUGGAUGUGAAAGCUCCCGGCUCAACUGGGAGAGGUCGUUCAAUACUACCGGACUUGAGAGCAGUAGAGGGAGGUGGAAUUCCCGGUGUAGUGGUGAAAUGCGUAGAUAUCGGGAGGAACACCAGUGGCGAAAGCGGCCUCCUGGACUGUUUCUGACGCUCAGACGCGAAAGCUAGGGUAGCAAACGGGAUUAGAGACCCCGGUAGUCCUAGCUGUAAACUAUGUGAACUUGGCGUCGGCGGGUUCAAAGCCGUCGGUGCCGUAGCUAACGCGAUAAGUUCACCGCCUGGGGACUACGGCCGCAAGGUUAAAACUCAAAGGAAUUGACGG
rnacentral:rRNA from 1 species